rnacentral:rRNA from 1 species
UACGAGAGGCGCAAACGUUAUUCGGAUUUACUGGGCUUAAAGAGUUCGUAGGCGGCGCAGCAAGUAGGGUGUGAAAGCCCUCGGCUCAACCGAGGAAUUGCGCUCUAAACUACUGUGCUUGAGGAAGCUAGAGGUGAGCGGAACUGAUGGUGGAGCGGUGAAAUGCGUUGAUAUCAUCAGGAACACCGGAGGCGAAGGCGGCUCACUGGGGCUUAUCUGACGCUGAGGAACGAAAGCCAGGGGAGCGAACGGG